GCAUUUGUGGUUCACUGGUAGAAUCAUCGCCUGCCACGUGGGGAGACCCGGGUCCGAUUCCUGGCCAAUGCA
rfam:Danio rerio chromosome 4, GRCz11 reference primary assembly.